rnacentral:rRNA from 1 species
AUUGAACGCUGGCGGCAGGCCUAACACAUGCAAGUCGAGCGGUAGAGAGGUGCUUGCAUCUCUUGAGAGCGGCGGACGGGUGAGUAAUGCCUAGGAAUCUGCCUAGUGGUGGGGGAUAACGUUCGGAAACGGACGCUAAUACCGCAUACGUCCUACGGGAGAAAGCGGGGGAUCUUCGGACCUCGCGCCAUUAGAUGAGCCUAGGUCGGAUUAGCUAGUUGGUGAGGUAAUGGCUCACCAAGGCGACGAUCCGUAACUGGUCUGAGAGGAUGAUCAGUCACACUGGAACUGAGACACGGUCCAGACUCCUACGGGAGGCAGCAGUGGGAAUAUUGGACAAUGGCGAAAGCCUGAUCCAGCCAUGCCGCGUGUGUGAAGAAGGUCUUCGGAUUGUAAAGCACUUUAAGUUAGGGAGGAAGGGCAGUAAGUUAAUACCUUG